GCUAGUUGAUCCUGCCAGUAGUCAUAUGCUUGUCUCAAAGAUUAAGCCAUGCAUGUCUAAGUACAAACCUUAAUACGGUGAAACCGCGAAUGGCUCAUUAAAUCAGCUAUGGUUCCUUAGAUCGUCUCAUCCUACUCGGAUAACUGUGGAAAAUCUAGAGCUAAUACGUGCUUACAAGCCCUGACCUCACGGGAGGGGCGCAUUUAUUAGAUCAAAACCAAUCGGGGCUUGCCCCGUCUGCUUGGUGACUCUGGAUAACUUUUGUGCUGAUCGCAUGGCCUCUGCGCUGGCGACGUAUCUUUCAAGUGUCUGCCCUAUCAACUUACGAUGGUAGGUGAUAUGCCUACCAUGGUUAUAACGGGUAAGGAAUCGGGUUCGAUUCCGGAGAGGGAGCCUGAGAAACGGCUACCACAUCUAAGGAAGGCAGCAGGCGCGCAAAUUACCCACUCCCGGCACGGGGAGGUAGUGACGAAAAAUAACGAUACGGGACUCUUUUGAGGCCCCGUAAUUGGAAUGAGUACACUUUAAAUCCGUUAACAAGUAUCUAUUGGAGGGCAAGUCUGGUGCCAGCAGCCGCGGUAAUUCCAGCUCCAAUAGCGUAUAUUAAUGUUGCUGCAGUUAAAAAGCUCGUAGUUGGAUCUGAGGACUCGAAUUGGUGGUGCACCAUACGGUGUUACUGCCGAUUCGGCCUACCUAGUCGGUGCUCGCUCUUGGUGUUCUUAAUUGAAUGCCCUGAGUGCCCGGCAAGUUUACUUUGAAAAAAUUAGAGUGCUCAAAGCAGGCCAUUAGCCGGAAUACUUCAGCAUGGAAUAAUGGAAUAGGACUUCGGUUCUAUUUUGUUGGUUUUCGGAACCCGAGGUAAUGAUUAAGAGAGACAGACGGGGGCAUUCGUACUGCGGUGUUAGAGGUGAAAUUCUUGGAUCGCCGCAAGACGAACAACUGCGAAAGCAUUUGCCAAGAAUGUUUUCAUUAAUCAAGAACGAAAGUCAGAGGUUCGAAGACGAUCAGAUACCGUCCUAGUUCUGACCAUAAACGAUGCCAACUGGCGAUCCGAGAUCGUUUGCUUAUUGACCUCUCGGGCAGCCUCCGGGAAACCAAAGUUUUUAGGUUCCGGGGGAAGUAUGGUUGCAAAGCUGGAAACUGUUCAAUUGCAACUCUGCCUGUGACACCAAGUGGUCGGGUUACUUGGUCUGUUCUGGCCCGGAGUCGGUAGGGUUUCCGGCCUUGUGCUCUUUCCUUACUGUUCUCUGUAACGCCGAAGGCGGGGCUUCCACGGUGGGGAAGCGGUUGUACAAAUCCGGCAAAUCCAGCCAAAUGGGUUCCGGACUCUGUCCAACCUGCAACUGGUAACAGCCUCGGCUGGCUAACAUUUGAGCUGGGACUCGCUUGGGAGGAGCGAGGAUAAUAUAAACCUCUAUGUGACUGAGGUGAGGAAUCUGGUUCUCGUAAAAUGGCUGGAGAUCCCGAGCCUGUAAGUCAUAAAUUAGUUCCCCCACGAGGGGAGGUGUCGAAUUGAAGCCAGUGCGUGCCCUUACUAGUUUAAGGGAUUGUAUACUUCCUUUGGUGUACCCACCUGGAAGUGCCCAAGGGGUCCUAUCCCUGCACU
rnacentral:rRNA from 1 species